CGCAGGCGGCUGGGCAAGUCAGAUGUGAAAGCCCGGGGCUCAACCCCGGACGUGCAUUUGAAACUGCCCGGCUUGAGUAUCGGAGGGGAAGGUGGAAUUCCCGGUGUAGAGGUGAAAUUCGUAGAUAUCGGGAGGAAUACCGGUGGCGAAGGCGACUUUCUGGCCGAAUACUGACGCUGAGGCGCGAAAGCGCGGGGAGCGAACA
rnacentral:rRNA from 1 species